CGACCCGAAAAUAGUGGGUUAGGGUUGAGAAUUUCGACACAAAAACUUAAAUGGGUUGACACGAACCCGACCCGAAAUUAAAUGGGUUAGGUUAAGGUUGAAAAUUUCAACCCGAAAAUGACCCACGUAACCCGAAAUUAUUUUCGGGUCAAAAUCAGGUCGGGUCAACCCGAACCCGACCUUAUAACCCGAAAAAAAGUCUUGUAAAAAAAAAUAAAAAACUUCAUUUUGAUAAUUUGAUGGCCCAAGCCCAAUUGAAAGUUUGAAACCUAAAAACAAAAACCCUAAAAACAACUAUCAGCCGUUUUCAUUUCACGCCUAAUUUCACAUUUUCUCUCUCUUAAAACUUCUUAGUGCUCUGGUUUUCAUUUUCACUCUUUCGUUCUCAAGCUCUCAACUUCUCCCUCUUCUCACUGAGUAAAAACCCUAAUUUCGUUCUCAAUUUUUGUCCUCUAAGGCUCUAAUCUUUCCUUCUCACUCCUCAACGUCUGAAAGCCGUCAAACCUGAAAGUUCUCCAUCUUCAAAUCUUCCUCUCCUUCAAGCCGUCAACUUAAAGACACCCAUGGCCCAUAAUCUCAUAUACAACAGCUUUCUUCUGGGAGUGUGAGAAGAAGAUUCGAGAGAUUGUUACUUUAAAUAAAUUUGUCUCUUUUUAAUUGUGAUUUGUAAUUUAUUAAACUUUAUUUUGGUAUGUAAUAAUUAAUUAGGCAUUUAAACUUCUUAGAGUGCUAGACUUUAUUUUGUUUUCUUGAAAAUUUUAAGUUUGAAAACAUUAAGUAAAAAAAAAAAAAAAAAAAAAAA